rnacentral:lncRNA from 1 species
AAUCGUUUCGUCUGCAUCCUGCAGUGCCUUUAUUAGUACCACGCAGAGCAAGCGAGAGUGGCAGCAUUGGUGGCUAUACCAUUCCCAAAGAUACAACUCUUAUGUUGAAUGUUUGGGCUAUCCACAGGGACCCUCAACUUUGGGAUAAUCCCUUAGAAUUUCGACCCGAGAGGUUUCUGAAUGUUGGUGUCGAGAGUAAGUUCGAUUACUCAGGUAACAAUUUUCAGUACUUACCUUUUGGUUCUGGUAGAAGAAUGUGUGCUGGGAUUCCUCUAGCUGAGAGGAUGCUGAUGUUUGUUUUGGCUUCGUUAUUGCACUCAUUUGAGUGGGAAUUGCCAGCUGGCACAAAGCUAAAUUUAUCUGAAAAAUUUGGGUUUGUCAUUAAGAAAAAAGAGCCUUUGGUUGCUAUUCCAACACCAAGACUAUCCAAUUCAGAGCUUUACCAUUAAAACAGAAUGAUUGUGAUGAUUUUGUUAGUAUCGGAAGAUUUGUAUGUUAUUUCAAGUUCAAUCGUAAUAAAAUAUUUUAAUAAAAGUCCUCCGUUGCUAAUUUUUUUUUUCAACGGCAUAAUCUGUCAUCAUGCUUGUGUUUGGAGCUACUUUGGAAUGAUUAUUUUUGAAUUACAAUUUAUAAAUAUUUAGGUUUUAAAUUUUUUAUAAGAGUCUAAAUUUAUACACGUUCAGUAAAAGAUUCCCUAAAAGCUUUACAAUUCAAAAUUCUAUUAAAAGUAUAGAUGAAACUUUUAUACCUACUAAUUUUUUGGUCUAUUCUACAAGUUUAAAGAGGAGAUAUUUCUAGAGCUAGCAAAAAGAGCUACCUGAUUGUUUUCGCGUUAUGUCAAUUUUUUUAUUGUGUUAAAUUUAAUUUGACCCACAUAUGACCCAUUUAAUAAUCGUGUCAAAAUAUUGAAACUUGAACUUGAUACGGAAAAUAAAUGGAUGACCACACACACCCAUUUAAGAAUUAGGUAACUAUGUCACUUAAUACGACAUAACCCAAUAACUCGUUUAAUACAUAUUUAACAUAAUUUACAUUGUACAUUGUACACCCUUUUGUCAUAAAUUACACUAUUUUAUAUUUCUAAAUAAUAUUAUAUAUUGAUAUUAUAAAAAAAUAUCAAUAAUCUCAAAAUUUGUACACCUCCUAACUUUUAAAAAGAAAUAAAAAAACUAAUUAAUUAAUGUUUAUUUUAUUCAUUAAUAUAUCAUAAUCCUACAUGUAUUUUAUUUGUUAUUUUUUUUAUUUAAAAAGAUAGGAGGGUGGAUGAAACUCAAAUAAAUUUUUAGCCUAUCCUGAUCUUUCAAGUUUCUUAUUUAGGAGGCCAGUUAAAAAAAAUUACUUAGAAAGCUACUCCAUCAAUUUAACAAAUUUUAUUUAUUUAAUUAAUGGAGGUGUAGAAAAUAAAAGUAUCUGCAAGCACAUUGCAAUAGUGAAAGCAAUGUACCGGUGUUGCAACAUAACUGAAUCUUGAUAACCUAUCACAUAUUUUAAGUUUUAAUAUUGGUAGUUCACGGAUCGGUUUCUACUUCCACGAACAAUUAUUGAAGGAAAUGAGUUUUUUUUUUAAUGAAUAUUUAUAGACCCCGAUUAAAUAUUCGAAUAUAUAAUAAAAGAGAAACUGACAUAGAAAUGAGAAAGAUAUUUGGAGGAGGCCAAAAAAAAAAAAAAAAAUGCAACAGAGAAUUAGAUCAGCAACACAAGUAACUAAUUAAUUCAUCUAUACAUCAUAAUCCUAUUUGUAUCUUCUUCCUUCUACUAAUUUACAUAUAAAUUUGGUUAGAUAAAACAUAUUUUAAUACUCGGUCACAAGCGGUGGAUAUAGAAAAUUAAUUUAGAGGGGGUAAUACCAUAACGAAAAAUAAUGAUUCAUAACUAAAAUCAACCCCAACAUCAAAACUUAUUUACAAGAUUACGCCCAGUCAAAGGUAAUUUUUCCUAAAAACUAAUACGAAAUUAAAUAAAUUUAACUUUUAGUGGGUUCAAGUGCCCACGCAUUCUGAACGUAGAUCCACCCCUGGCCCCGACUGAAGCAUUUUUUACAAUAUGUACUCAGUUUAUCAACAGGAACAACCUUCCACUUUAAAUUAAAAUUUUCACUUAAAAAUGAUUAAUGUUAAUGAGGUUAGCAACAAAAAUGAGUUUAAUUAGAGAAUAUUAUAAGAGAAAUUAUAUUUUUUGACUUUUAAUAAAUUAAAAUAUUAUUAGUUGGUGGUGGUUUCACGUCAGAUUAAGACGUGACACUUUACUUAUGAGGUCGAGACAAUCGACUUAAACUAUUUCAAUGCAUUUGAAAUUUGCACUAAUGGCUAUCAUUCUUUGUCCAAAUUAAUACGAUAAUUAAUAACAUACAAUUGAAAUAAUUAAUACUAGCACUUGGCAAUAAAUAAAGCUCUUGUGCUUGAAUCGUCACACAUGAUCACUUCAUUCCUUUAUUUACUUUGCUACCACAAAUUUUGAGGCAUUAUAACUAAAUAAUAAUUGAAUAGGGCUUUGUGUUACUUGUUGUGCGCGCGGAAUGCGGAAUCAAGCACACCAAAUUAUUACAGAAAAAUAAAGGACACAAUUAUUUGACGUGGUUCGGUAAUUAAACUUACAUCCACGGAGGCAAGAAAGAAUAAUUGUUUAUUUAACAAUUAAUAGAGUACAAAUAUUUGAGUAACGAAUCUCACUUCUCAGAAACCUAAAUAUACCCAAUACUCUCACACUCUGCAGGAAAGAUAAAUUAUCCAAACACACUUCUCUCACUUCUCUAAAAAACUUAAAAAUUUAAAAACUUAACAAUUUUGGAAUGCUUUAGAAUAGAAGAAGUGCCAUCUUAUAGGAAAAAUAAUGAUACUAUUGCACCAACCUCUUUACUAUUCCACCUAACAUAAGCAAAUUGUCAAUAGUGUCCAUUUAACUUUUUAUUUUUUUUCUUCAAUUGUUUAGUAGCCCUUUAAAAAUCUGCGUGGUUUCUUGAAAUUUAGAUGCCACAUGCAUGACUUUUCAACACUAAUUACUACGAUAAUUAAUAUUAGCACUUGGCAAUAAAUAAAGCUCUUGUGCUUGAAUCGUCACACACGAUCACUUCAUUCCUUUAUUUGCUUUGCUACCACAGAUUUUGAGGCAUUAAAACUAAAUAAUAAUUGAAUAUGGCUUUGUGCGUCGAUGACGCCAGCAACAAGGGGACCACAAUUAUCACUUUUUAAGUUGCUUUUAAAAUUGAUUUUAAUAGUGAUUUGAUUAUUGUAGUGUUUUUAUUUUUAUAUUAAAAUUAAGUCGAUUUGUUAUAAUAAACUUAGUUGAGUUUAAUGGUAUUACUACAUAAAUUGAAUAGUCAUCAAAUAUUUUAAUGUUUUUAUGGCAAGUGUUGACGUGGCAUUUAUUUGUUGUAUGAUGGAUUUUAAAAUUUAUAAAAUUAUUUGUUAUUAAAUUACCCCCAGAUGCUGCAUCACCUGAAACUUAAUAAAGGGCAUGUAGCAUUGCCAUUACUCAACAUUCACUCUUAUGACUUUAUGACAUUAGAAUUAAAAUCUUUCGUACAUUUAAUUUGUUUGCUUCCAGAUUAAUCUUUAAAAAUAUUUUUUUCACAUUAUCAUGAAUGGACAAAACUCCAACGAAAAUAACUACGCAAGAGCAAUCUAUGCUAGUAUUAUAUGCCACGAUAUCUAUAACUUUGUCAGGUCUCAGGAUCGAUCAUUCUAAUUUUUACGCAGAACUUUUAAUCAAUGGACAAACACCUCACCGAGCUUGUCGGCAGCAUUACUACGAUGUAAAAUUGUACCGGAAUAUCUUGAAGUAUUAGUAGAAUAAUGAAGACUAUUUGGAGCAAUAAAAACAAAUAACGCAGAUAAAAAAAAUGGCUAAAAUUAUGUAAGUGAGCCCCAAAGUUUUUGCUAUUUCCAGGAAAUCCCAAAUUUGAAUGGACUAGAGGGAGGCACGUAAGAAAUACAUUUUCUUCCUAGACAAUGACAGCUAUGACAUCAAGCCACGUAUUGAAAUUAAGGUGUAAUUAUUCAGCCAAUGAGCCUUACACACCAAGAUGUAUAAAAGUCAAGAAAAUGAAAUUUUAUCCCAAUUAAAACACUUUCUGGCUGCAAUUGGCUGUUUCCAUUUGAAGUUAAAAAACAACAACGUUUCUUUCGUUUUGUGGGCGAUUCGAUUGAGCACGCGCCACGAGCUAGCUGGCUUCCAGUGCUUGCGUGUGACAAUAGAAGGCUAGUGAUUUCACUUUCGCUUUUUUUUUUUUUUCUUUUUUUUGGGGAAUCAAGAUAAAAGCCAAGAAAAUGAAAAUUGGGCUGUUUCCAUUUGAAGUUAAAAACAGUGUUUCUUUCGGGGCGUCAAUUUGAUAUUUGAAUGGACAGGCAAGUAAGAAAUACAAUUCCUUCAUAGACAAUGACAACGAGGACAUCAAGGCACAUCAUUAUAGUUUGUAGCCCAUCUACAUUUAAACGAUUAAUAAACAAGCUUAGGUGUGCCACUGCUAUUAUUAAUUAUCCCCUGAUCAUUAUAGUUUCUGAAACAGUAAAACAAAACGAAAUUGAAUACAUCAACGAGAUCGCAAUUAUCACUUGUUUAGUUGCGGUAUUUAACUUAAUUUUAAUCUAAUAUAUUUGUUAGUUAAACUUUUAAUAAUCAAAUAAUUUUGACUUAAAAAUAAAAUUAUAGAAAUUAUUAAUUAUUAAAAAUUCACACAUAGCUAUUGUUUUCUCUAUAUAUUGCAGUGUGUACGAUAUUGAGGGUUGAAGCCCAAAGCAUGCCCUAAAAUCCAGAUAAUAAUUAGAUCCGGGCCAAAUAUUCAUCAUUGUGUCGGCUGAUCAGUCGGUGGACAUCUCUAUUGAAAAAAUCUCUGACAUUUCUCUCGACAAACUUAUUACUAAAAAAAAAUCAGUGGUUUUGCCGUCUGAAUAAUGUAGAAAAAUUUGUCUGUGCAUUAAUCUAGAUGUUUGAGGUGAUUUAUACAUCUGUGAUAAAGAUUUAUAGGUUGACUUAUACGUCUGUGGUAUAGAUUUUAUGUAUUUCAUUACAAAAUGCUGGCCGUUAGAACCCUUUCUACAUCUAUUUAUAAGAUUAACGGGUGCCAGUUAUGCCAUUACAAAUUAUCCCCUCAUCAGAUAUUUCGUUAAAAUUCAUUCUGAAACACUAAAACUAAAUAAUCGAACAUGGCUUUGCGGGUCGAUGAUGCCAGAAGCAAUUCGACUGCAAUUAUCACUUGUUUAGUUUCUGUGCUUGCCGUGGUUUACUUGGCAUGGAAUGUGAAAAAAUCAAGGAAAGCAAAUGCUAAACUGCCACCAGGACCUCCCGGCUUGCCUGUAGUCGGAUACCUCCCAUUUCUCGGAACUACUGACUUGCACAAGAAAUUCACGGAAUUAUCCGGAGUUUACGGUCCGAUCUUCAAGCUCUGGCUCGGAAAUAAAUUAUGUGUAGUGGUGAGCUCACCUUCCCUAAUUAGACAAGUGGUUCGUGAUCAAGAUACAACAUUCGCGAACCGUGACCCACCGAAGGCUGCACUAGUGGUCUCCUAUGGUGGCAAUGAUAUUGCAUGGUCCAAUUACGGUCCCGAAUGGAGAAAGUUGCGCAAAUUUUUUGUGGGCAAGAUGAUGAGUAACGCAAGCCUUGAUGCUUGUUAUGCUCUAAGAAAACAAGAGGUUAAAAAUACUAUCAGGGAUUUGUAUAACAACGACAACAAAAUUGGCAAGCCCAUUGACAUUGGUGAAUUGUCGUUUUCAACAUUGGUAUGUGCUAUACAGAACAUGCUGUGGGGUGAAGCGCUUGAAAUAAGAGAGAAAGGGACCACUAAUCUUGGGGCUGGGCUAAAAUUUAAGCUGGCAGAACUCAUGGUGCUUGCGGGAACACCGAAUAUUUCGGAUGUCUUUCCAAUGCUUUCAUGGCUUGACAUACAAGGUAUAGAGAGGAGAGCAAAGAAGAUUUCACUCUGGCUUGAAAAUGUUAUAAAUUCUACUGUUGAACAGCAUAGAAACAAGGAGUCAACUGUUGAAGGUGAAGAAAGAGCGGGGAAAAAUUUUGAAGGAUCAAGGAACAAGAACUUCUUGCAGUUACUAUUGGAGCUUCAAGAAAAUGAUGACAGUGCUUCCUCAAUUAGCAUGAACCAAUUCAAGGCCGUACUCAUGGUAUGUUAAGUAACUAGCAACGAACAGUUAUACAAGCACAGUUGUAUAUUUGCAUGAGUGAUAUUUUCAACCUUUUUUUUUAAUUAGAAUUUUAUUGUCACCUUUUGGACAGGAUAUAAUUACGGCUGGAACCGACACCACAGCUACGAUGGUGGAAUGGACAAUGGCAGAGUUGAUGCAGCAUCCACAAGUAAUGAAGAACGUUCAGGAAGAAUUAGCUCAAGUUGUGGGCAUGGACAGUUGUGUUGAAGAAUUUCACCUGUCUAGAUUAAAGUAUUUAGAUGCUGUGGUGAAGGAAACAUUUCGUCUGCAUCCUGCAGUGCCUUUAUUAGUACCACGCAGAGCAAGCGAGAGUGGCAGCAUUGGUGGCUAUACCAUUCCCAAAGAUACAACUCUUAUGUUGAAUGUUUGGGCUAUCCACAGGGACCCUCACCUUUGGGAUAAUCCCUUAGAAUUUCGACCCGAGAGGUUUCUGAAUGUUGGUGUCGAGAGUAAGUUCGAUUACUCAGGUAACAAUUUUCAGUACUUGCCAUUUGGUUCUGGUAGAAGAAUGUGUGCUGGGAUUCCUCUAGCUGAGAGGAUGCUGAUGUUUGUUUUGGCUUCGUUAUUGCACUCAUUUGAGUGGGAAUUGCCAGCUGGCACAAAGCUAAACUUAUCUGAAAAAUUUGGGAUUGUCAUUAAGAAAAAAGAGCCUUUGGUUGCUAUUCCAACACCAAGACUAUCCAAUUCAGAGCUCUACCAUUAAGACAAAAUGGUUGUGAUGAUUUUGUUAAUUUUCCGAAGAUUUGUAUGUUAUUUAGUUCAAUCGUAAUAAAAUAUUUCAAAUAAGAGUCCUCCGUUGCUUUUUUUUUUUUUUUUUUUUCAACGGCAUAAUCUGUCGUCAUGCUUGUAUUUGGAGCUACUUUGGAAUAAUUAUGUUUGAAUUACAAUUUAUAAAUAUUUACGUUUUAAAUUUUUUAUAAGAGUCUAAAUUUAUACACGUUUAAUAUCCCGCUUCAUAGAUAUUUAACACAAUUUAUAUCAUACAUUGUAUACCCAUUUGUCAUAAAUUAUACUAUUUUGUAUCUCUAAAUAAUAUUACGUAUUGAUAUUAUAAUAUAUAUAUAUAUGUUUAUCAAAAGACUAUACCAUUCAAUAUAUAUUGAAAAGAGAACAAAGAAGAUUUUCUUAUGGUUUAAAAAUAUUAUGAAUUCUGCUGUUGAACAGUAUGGAAACAAGGUCUCUGUUGUUAAAGGUGAAGAAGCAACAGGGAACAAUAUUGAAGGAAGAAAUUUCACAUGUUUAGUUGCUGAAUUUGCCGCUGUAUUCUAUCGGUAGUAGAGUUUUUAUUUUUCUCUAUUAAUUUAAGUCAAUUUUCUAUAACAAAUUCGGUUGAGUUUAAUUGUGUUAUAAUAUAAAUUGAAUGAUAAUAGAAUUUUCAACAAAUAUUUCAAUAUUUCUAUCUCGAUUGUUGAAGUGCCAUUUAUUUGUUAUGCGAUCGAUUUUAAAAUUUAUAAAAUUAUUUGUUACUAAAUUGCAUCAUAUGCUAAAAUCACCUGAAACCUAAUUCCAUAACUAACCCUUUAUUUUUAGUUCUCAAGAAAUCUUGUAAGAACAAAAAUCUUUUAUAACAAAACUUUUACAACACAUUAAUUUGUAACUCAUUCCUGUGCGCGAAUCACUCUCAAUUUCCUUCAAUUGCUGUUUAACAAUCAUCUACUUAUCAAAAUUCAAGCAUAAUCUUUUUUUUUUAAUUUCUUCAUCAUUCUUUAAAAAAAAAAUCAGGAUAUGCUGUUAAAUUUUGAAAUAAAUAAAUUAACCAAAGUUGGUUGAUGUGAGUGGUUCAAUGAUGAGCAUAAUUUAUAUACAUAUUUUACCUUUAAUUAUAUAAUUAUUAGUUAUUUUUAUUAGUUAUUUUUAAUUAAUUGAAUUAUUUUAUUGCAUAGAGAAUUAAUUGGAGAUUGGGAAACAAAAAGUGCAUAAAGAAUAACAAGUUUGGGAAAGCAUCAAUCAAAGCCGUGACGCAAUUAAGAGUUUAUAGCAUAUGAAGCCAAGAGUAAUUUGCACUCAAAAAGAAUUUCAAUUAUUCAAGUGACCUGGACCUGCAUGGCAUUGUAAUGCAUGGAAAGCAACUUAAAGGGGCCCACACUUGGCUUUUACAAUUGGAAAAAGGAAUCCUAGUGCAAGCUUAAUUGAUGAGCACGUGAGUGAGAGCAAAGAAAAUUAAAAGGCCAAGCCUUUUGGCUUAAGGAAAUAACAAGGUCGGUGGGGCCCAUUUUAAAGAGUAAUAUAAAAGCAAGCUUUUGGCUUUUGGAGAGAGGAGCCGCGAGAGGAGGAAAACGCAAGACAAAGAGAAGAAAAUCUGCAGCAGUUCGGCUUCUAUGGUUGGUUUUAUCUCUUUUGUUACUCUUAAUUCAAAUAUGUCUAGUUAAUUUUCUUAUAUUAAAGUUAAGGAUGAAACCCUAUUCAAUGAAAUAAUUAUCUUUUUAUUUAUUUAAUUCCCAUAUAUGUUCUUUAAUGAUUAUGAUUUUUAUUUCACAUGAUUAAUUGGAUGUUAUUAAAAUUUUUUCAUCAAUUCUGUCAUGCAUUAUUGAUUGUUAGGAUUAAUAUUCAAUUAAAUCUAUACUUAGAUUUAUAACGUUUAUACAUGAUUAUCUUUGAUUCUAUGUCUUUCAUUAAAUUGUUUACAUGGAGUGCUUAGGAAAACUUUGACUCUUUGUUAUUCAAUAUGUUCACAUGGGAUACUUAGAUGUCAUACUAUUAAGCGGAAAAAGAACCUAUAUUAGAUUUAAUUAUUUGGGCUUAAUUGUUAUAUCCAUGAGAUGACACAAAUUGAUUUCGAGUUGUCACUCUAAAAUUAGAGAUUAAUGAAUAUUUAGAUAAUUACUAGUUGAAUAGCGGUGGAUUCUGAAACCUUGGUAAUUUCUAUCUUAUUGAAUUCUCCUUUACUUUAAUUGUUUUCUUAGUUUAAUUAAUUUAAUUUCUUUUAAAACUCAAUUUGCUUAACUAGGUUAGAAUUAAUAUUAAUUUUAGAUUUAAAUUAGACUUUUCAAUUUAUAACAAUCCAUGUGGGAUCGACCUCGUUACCACUACUUUAUUUCUAGAUUCGUGCACUUGCGAGUAUAUUAAAAUUUUCACAACAAGUUUUUGGCGCCGUUGCCGGGGAUUGUGCCAGAAAGUCAGUUUAAUCUAGGUUGAUUUGAUUCUUCCACUAGUUAUAAUUUAUGUUGUCUUUUAUUUUAUUAUUAUUUUUAAUUAACAAAAACACACAAAAAAACUUUUAUUUUUCUUUAAAUUCAUUGUUUGGUUGUUUGAUUUCUUUUAUUUUUUAAAUUUUGUUUAUUCUCAUUAUUGUUGGUUUAUUUUAUUUUAUUUUUUUCUUUCCUUGUCUAGUUAGUUUAUGAGUGUUUGGGAAUGUGAUUCAACAAAUCGUUUGGUAAAAGAGAGUCAAAAAUUGAUAGUAGUCAAGUUAGUUCUUCUGAAGUCAUGGAUGACCCAAAUAGAUUAUUGCCAAUACUUCCACCAGUGCAAGCAGAGAAAACCCUUAGAGAAUAUUUUUCACCACUUGCAGCCAACCAACCAUCUUGUAUUGUGUUGCCACAAACUACAGCAACACACUUUGAACUUUUUGAACUUAAGCCCUCAGUCAUCCAACUUUUACCAUCUUUCCAUGGGUUAGAGAGAGAGGAUCCAUAUUUGCACAUUAAGGAAUUUCUUGACAUAUGCUCUACAUUCCGUUUUCAAAAUUUUAAUGAUGAGUUAAUCAGGCUUCGUAUGUUAUCUUUCUCAUUAAAAGACAAAGCAAAAGCUUGGUUGAAUUCGCUUUCUGCUGGGUCUAUAACUACGUGGGAUGAAUUGAAUAAUAAGUUCCUCACCAAGUUUUUCCCUAUGUCUAAAACAAAUGCCCUUAGGAGAGAGAUAAGUGAUUUCUAUUAAAGAGAGGGUGAGCAAUUUUAUGAGUGUUGGGAAAGAUUCAAUGAUUUACUCCUCAAGUGCCCCCACCAUGGUUUUGAGAAAUGGAGACUUAUACAAUGCUUUUAUAACGGUUUAACCAUGUCGAAUCGUCAUAUGGUAGAGUCUAUGAAUGGUGGGAGAUUUUUGAACCUACAUGAAGGGGCUGCAUGGGAUUUCUUUAAUUCACUUUCUGAGAAUUCUCAACAGUGAGAUUUUUCAAGCCAAAGGGAAAAAUCAUCUCAAGUUUCUAGAAAGGGGUUAUAUGAAGUUAAGGAUGAUUUUGAUGUGAAAUCCACUCUAAUUACACUUUCUAGAAAAGUAGAUGCCUUAGCUCUGAACCAAUCAAUGAAUCAUCAUCCUAGUGUAGCUAAUGAGGUUUGUGCUAUUUGUUCUAACUUGUCUCAAACAGCACAAAACUGUCCAUCAUUACCAGUCUAUCCAGAGGCUUAUUCUGAGCAGGUACAUGCCUUACAAUCAUAUGAGAAAACCUCCAAUAAUACAUAUUCACUCACAUAUAAUCCUAAUUGGAGGAAUCACCCUAAUUUUUCUUGGAAACAAAAUCAAUCUUUGUCAAACCAAGGAGGACAACAAUUUAACAUGCCCAAUCAACAAUUUGUCCCUCCUAACCAAGUAUAUCCUCCUGCCCAACAACCUAUAUCUCAAUUUGUUACACCCCAACAAAGAAAACCUUCUUUAGAGGAUACACUUCAAAGUUUCAUUCAGUCAACCUAAUAAGCUUUUCAGUCAAACACUCAAGCUAUUCUAAAGCUUGAACAUCAAUUGGGUCAAUUAGCAACUACUGUAGCGGAGAAAGAAAAAAGAAAAUUCCCCAGUCAAUCAAUUCCUAAUCCUAAAGGAGUGCAUGAAGUUGGAUCGAGUUCAAGCCAUCAGCAUGAAGAAGCAAAAUCAAUUAUGACCUUGAGAAGAGGAAAAUUGUUUGACAACAAAGUGGAGGUUCAAACAAAGAAGACAUCUGAGCCUACUUCUUCAGAUCCAAUUACAUCACAAGAAUCAUCACCAAAUGAUCUUGAAGAGAGUGACCCGCUAGCUUACAUUCCCAAGGCUCAUUUUCCUCAAAGGUUAACAAAGGUAAAGAAAGGGACUUCAACAUGUGAGAUUAUAGAAAUCUUCAAGCAGGUAAGUAUAAACAUCCAUUUACUCGAUGCUAUUAAGCAAGUUCCUUCCUAUGCCAAGUUUUUGAAAGAUUUAUGCACUAAAAAGAGAAAUUUGCAUGUCACUAAAAAGGCGUUUUUAACUGAACAAACUAGCAAUUUACUUCAAUGUAAAAUGCCACCAAAAUUUAAGGAUCCUGGUUCUCCUACUAUUUCAUGUGUUAUAGGGAACCAAUGUUUUGAUAAAGCAUUAUUGGAUUUAGGUGCUAGUGUUAAUCUCUUACCUUAUUCCAUUUACAUGCAGCUUGGACUAGGUGAGUUAAAAUCAACUCCUAUUAUUUUGCAACUUGCUGAUAGGUCAAUGAAAAUACCUCGUGGUAUUAUAGAGGAUGUGUUGAUACAGAUUGACAAAUUUUAUUAUCCUGUUGAUUUUAUUGUUAUUGAUACUCAACAUGUACAUGAUCUUAAGAAACACACUCCACUUAUUCUUGGUCGUCCUUUCUUAGCUACAGCUGAUGCUCAUAUUAGUUGCAGGACUUGAAACAUGCAAUUGUCUUUUGGUAACAUGACCAUGGAAUUAAAUAUUUUUAAUGUUCCCAAGCAGGCACAAGAAGAUGAUGAAGUCGUUGAAGUAGAUAUGAUAGAAGCAUCAAUUGAUGACUCACUUAUUUCUAACCAUUGUGACAAUCCAUUAAUACCUUGCACAACUGACUCUGAUUUCUCUAUUGAUGUUGAUAGUGAUAUUGAAGAAGUUAAUGCUUUACUUGAUUCGACUCUUAUCAUAGAUCUAAUUAAGUGGAAAGAAAAGAUAAGAUUGAGCCACUUCCUCCUGAAGAGAAAAGUGCAACAUAGGUCACAUUCUGACAUAAAAAAGGUGGUAAGAUCUAAAACGCUUAAAUUAUUAGAUUUUUAUACUACUUUAGAUAACUCUCAGGAAAGCUUAGAACAGAAGAGAUCAAAGCAAUGCGAUAUUGAGGAGUUUCAUUACCAUCAUCCUUUUAUGGAUAAAAUGCUCCAGUGCUUAAUCAAUUAUGCUUUUUGGUAUUUUCUAUAUAAUUGCUUUAAUUUUCACCAAAUUCUUAUUGAUCCUGGUUGAUUUGUUGUUUACAUUAAUUAGUUAGUUAGUCGGAUUUUUUUAUUAUUAUUUAUAUUUCUUCUAACGUUUUCUUUUGAGUUGUCAUUCUUUUAAGUUUUCCUAGCUCAGUCAGGUGUGUUCUCUCCAACUUUCUCUUUUAUUAUUUAUGUUUUUAUUUUUCAUCUUUUUGCGUGCAUAUCUUUUAUUUAUGACACAUUGAGGACAAUGUUCCGAAUAAGUUUGGGGGUGGGAAUAAUGUUGCUUUGUUUGUUAAAAAAAACUAAAAAAAAAUUUCAAAAAUUCAAAAAAAAAUUGUGUUUUUUUUGUUUUUACGUGAAAAGCCAAUGAUAAAAACUUGAUUGACAAUGAAUAUGGUUUUUAGAAAGGGUUUAAUAUUGUCUUAAUUUAUACUUGAUUCUUAUGUUAGUUCCUCUUGAUUGAGAUUCUUUAAAAUAUAAGCACUAAUAUCAAUUCUUUCAUAAUUUUGACUUGAAAUUUGAGAUUGACGCAGCCUGAGUUGAGAAUUUUAGAUAGAGUAAAUGACUGUUUGUCUUUAUUCUUAUCUCCACAAUACAAAAUAGUAUACACAGGCACCAAAGUCAGAAAUAACUACCUAUAAUCCUUAAGAGUGAAGCUAUCCUUGAGUAAUUUAGGCCUAUGUACCACAAGUAUGUAGAGGAUAAUCUACCAUGAGAAGAAUGCUACCUUAAGGGGUAGAGUGAAAGCUCCUGACUAUGGUUAAAAAAAAAAGAAGAAGAAAAAGAGAAAGAAAAAAUCAAAUCAAGUGCAUGUGCUGAAAAAAAAAUCAAAAGAAAAUGCACAUAAAAGCCUGUGAAAAAAAAAUUGGAGAUUAAGAUGAUAAGAUUAGCUUGACCUACUCUUUUCUUUUUUUGAGGCGAAGGUUGUUGAUAUUGAAGAUUUUAGGAAUGAAUUUGAUUGAAUUGAUUUCACACACACACAACAAGAAUCGAAAGAGAGAUGGGAUUGAUUAUUGAAUUAAAGUUAGAACUUUGCCAAUAUUUGAAAUUUUGUUUGAGCUAUAUAAUUUAUGCAAUCUUUGAGGGUAUUUUCAUAUUUUAUUUAAAGUUUUUUUUUCUUUUUAUUUUAUUUUAUUUAUUUUUUAUUUUUUUAAAAUGAUGUUUGUGGGUGUCAUCACUGAAGCUCUCACGAGACUAUAACUCGUCCACUAGGGGUUUAAAGGCUUGUUGCAUACGCUAAAUGCAAUCGCGAUUACCUGCGAAAAUGGUUUAGUUAGGAUUUACUUUUUGUUUUGUUAUUUUUUUUUUUUUUUUUAGUUUUAGCUUUGCUCGAGGACUAGCAAAAUCUAAGUUUGGGGGUAUUUGAUGAGCAUAAUUUAUAUACAUAUUUUACCUUUAAUUAUAUAAUUAUUAGUUAUCUUUAUUAGUUAUUUUUAAUUAAUUGAAUUAUUUUAUUGCAUAGGGAAUUAAUUGGAGAUUGGGAAACAAAAAGUGCAUAAAGAAUAACAAGUUUGGGAAAGCAUCAAUCAAAGCCAUGACACAAUUAAGAGUUUAUAGCAUAUGAAGGCAAGAGUAAUUUGCACUAAAAAAGAAUUUCAAUUAUUCAAGUGAUCUGGACGUGCAUAGUAUUGUAAUGCAUGGAAAGCAACUUAAAGGGGCCCACACUUGGCUUUUACAAUUGGAAAAAGGAAUCCUAGUGCAAGCUUAAUUGGUGAGCACGUGAGUGAGAGCAAAGAAAAUUAAAAGGCCAAGCCUUUUGGCUUAAGGAAAUAACAAGGUCGGUGGGGCCCAUUUUAAAGAGUAAUAUAAAAGCAAGCUUUUGGCUUUUGGAGAGAGAAGCCGCCAGAGGAGGAAAACGCGAGACAAAGAGAAGAAAAUAUGCCGCAGUUCGACUUCUAUGGUUGGUUUUAUCUCUUUUGUUACUCUUAAUUCAAGUAUGUCUAGCUAAUUUUCUUAUAUUGAAGUUAAGGAUGAAAUCAUAUUCAAUGAAAUAAUUAUCUUUUUAUUUAUUUAAUUCCCAUAUAUGUUCUUUAAUGAUUAUGAUUUUUAUUUCACAUGAUUAAUUGGAUGUUAUUAAAAUCUUUUCAUCAAUUCUGUCAUAUAUUAUUGAUUGUUAUGAUUAAUAUUAAAUUAAAUCUAUACUUGGAUUUAUAAAGUUUAUACAUGAUUAUCUUUGAUUCUAUGUCUUUCAUUAAAUUGUUUACAUGGAGUGCCUAGGAAAACUUUGACUCUUUGUUAUUCAAUAUGUUCACAUGGGAUACUUAGAUGUCGUACUAUUAAGCGGAAAAAGAACCUAUAUUAGAUUUAAUUAUUUGGGCUUAAUUGUUAUAUCCAUGAGAUGACAUAGAUUGAUUUCGAGUUGUCACUCUAAAAUUGGGGAUUAAUGAAUAUUUAGAUAAUUACUAGUUGAAUAGUGGUGGAUUCUGAAACCUUGGUAAUUUCUAUCUUAUUGAAUUCUCCUUUACUUUAAUUGUUUUCUUAGUUUAAUUAGUUUAAUUUCUCUUAAAACUCAAUUCGCUCAACUAGGUUAGAAUUAAUAUUAAUUUUAGAUUUAAAUUAGACUUUUCAAUUUAUAACAAUCCCUGUGGGAUCGACCUCGUUACCACUACUCUAUUUCUAGAUUCGUGCGCUUGCGAGUAUAUUAAAAUUUUCACAACAUUCGGCACUCUCACUCCUUAAGAGAGGUCAGGGGUUCAAGCCUCGCUCUCGUAUGGAGUCACCACUUUGACCAGCACUUUACCCCUUACAGACCGACCCGGUGCGAGCAUGAAUUAGUCUGGGUUGUGGUACGGGCUUAAAGGUGCCUCCCACAAUUGAGACCCACUCAGGACCACCUCGUGGUUCGGACAAAAAAAAAAUUGAAAUAAAUUAUCUCAAAAUAAUUACUAACCAGAAAAAACAAAGGGGUUUAACUAGGUUAUGCAUACCUUUGAAAAUUAUAUGUUGAUCGAUAAGCAUGAUGAUCACGAUUGAGGAGUUUAAUUAAAAUUUAUAAGAUUUUAAAAUUAAUCAGGGUUAAAUUCUAAAUUUUAGAAAGAGAGGUUUUGUGAGAAUGCUGAAAGGGUGUUAAUAGUUCCACUCUUUUUUAAAAAAACCAUAGUCAUCAUUUUUCCCGAUUUCUUCUUCCCAUCUCCAUCUUAUUUAGAAAUUUCCCAGAGCCUUUGUUUCCCACCAUUCAUUUUUCUUCUUUCUAAUUUAAGAUUAUAGUAUUAUAAAAAUAAUUACUCACAUUUUAUCAAACACCUCCAUUAUACCAAGGCCUUGUUUUAGUAGUAGGCUUUUAUUAUCUCAAUAAAAUUGAAAAAACAAAGCUCAAUAAUAUUGGAAAAAAAACCUACCCAUAUUUGUAACUUUAAUUUAUUAUUCUCCAUAGACCUACUUUUUAGCUUUGAAUUUUGUUGGAGCCAUAUAUAAACAGAAUAUGUUGAAAUCAGCACAAAAAAAAAACUAAUUAUAUAAUUUUUGUUCCCAAGGACACGACUGUGUGAUUUUUAAGAAGUUUUGUUUGGCUGGCCACUUAGGUUUAAAUCUUGGUGGAGAUUAGGGGUUAAGAAAUAAAUUUGGACUUUGCACACCCCUUUAACUUUUAAAAAGAAUGAAAAAAACUAAUUAAUUAAUCUUUAUUUUAUUUAUUAAAUGUCAUAAUCAUAUGCAUAUUUUAUUUGUUAUCUUUCUAUUUAAAAGAUAGGAGGGCAAAUAAAACUGAAAUAAAUGUUUAUCCCUAUCUCCAUCUUUCAAGUUCCAUAGUUAGGUGACCAGCUAAAGAAAAUUAAUUGAAAGUUACUCCAUCAAAUUAAAAAAAAUUAUUUAUUUAAUUUGUGGAGAUGUAGAAAAUCAAACCCCAUACCUUUUCGCAUGCAAAAGUGUCAACCUGGUCUAGCUAUGUUGCAACAGUAAACAUAUUUUAAUACAUGACUAUCAUCUUUUAUCCUAAAUACUACUAUAACUAUGGGUUCAGUUAUGCUGUAACUGUGGUAUGGUACCACAGUUGUUUUCAACCAUUAAAUUCAACUUAUAUAACUAUGCAACUGUAGAUCUAACGGCUGAAAGCAACUAUGGUACCAUACCACAGUUGCAACAUAGUUUUGCCCCUAUAACUCAUAACAUUCAAUUGAAAUAAUAAAUGUUAACACUUGGCUAUAAAUAAAGGUUUUGUACUUGAAUCUUCAUGCAUGACCUUCAUUCCUUUAUUGACUUUGCUAACACAGAUUUUGAGGCAUUAAAACUAAAUAAUAAUUGACUUUGUGGGCCGAGGAUGCCAGCAACAAGGAGACCACAAUUAUCACUAGUUAAGUUACUCUAAUUGCCGUUGUCUUAUAUUCAUAAAAUAUUAGUAAUAAGAUUAUUGUAGAAUUUUUUUAUAUUAAAAUUAAGUCAAUUUGUUAUAACAAAUUUAGUUGAGUUUAAUCGUGUUACUACAUACAUUGAAUAAUAAUAGAAUUCUCGACAAAUAUUUCAAUAUUUUUAUCCCAAGCGUUGGAGUGGCAUUUAUUUGUUAGACAAUCGAUUUUAGAACUUAUAAAAUUAUUCGUUACUGAAUUGCACCAUAUGCUGCAUGACCUGAAACUUAAUAAACGGAACGUAGCGUUGGCAACAUUCACUGUCAUGACUUUGUGACAUUAGAAUUAAAUUUUUUUGCACAUUUAAUUUGUUUACUUCCAAAUUAAUAUUUAACAAAAUAUUUUUUCACAUUAUCAAUGGACAAAACUCCAACGAAAAUAACUAUACAAUAUAUGCUAGUAUUGUAUGCCAUAUCAUCUGUAAUUUUGUCAGGAUCGAUCAUUUUAAUUUUUAAGCAAAACUUUUUAUCAAUGGACAAACACCUCACACAGCUUGUCAGAGGCAUUAUUAUGAUGGAAAACUGAUAAACAGUGAACUCGAAACUCAAUUACUACAAGUCGUUUAGAGGAUUCAGUCUUGGAUGACUUGUCACUUGUGGAAUUCUUGAAGCCAGAACCGACAUAAUCUCAGUCGUCAUUCUGUCUUAAGUAAUACACAUGGUUUGCAUGUGUGUUGAAGCUGACUCUUUGCUUGGAUCAAGAAACGACGUCUUUGAGUGCCGUUUCUUAAACACACUUUAAAUCAGCUUGUGUCAAGCACGUGAGGUAGAGCUUUUUGAAUAGAUUUGGCGGGAAUGGUAGUUAGUGUAACAACCCAGAAAUAGAGGUUAAAAGGUGAAGGCUUUGUCAUCAUCUACACAUGAUUUGGGAAACAUUGAGAGUAGAGAAAAAGAUAGAGAGAGAAAGGGGUUAACAAGUUCUUGUUCUCUGUAAAUCGAUUUAUAUUCUUGUAAAGUUUGUGAUCUCAAUUAGUGAAAGACUGUUGCUUUGUUUCCAGUGGAUGUAGGCACCACUUCUUGGUGCUGAACCACUUAUACUUGGUGUCAUAUUGUUUCUUUAAUGCUUUGAUUCUUGCGUGUGAUUGUUGCUGGAUAAUCUGUGCUGUUAAUUCUCAAACCAUUGAUACAGAAUUAAUGUCUUGGGGAGAAUUUGGUUAGUCUUAUCAAAGCCGAAUUCACAACAAAUUGGUAUCAGAGCCCUCUUUUCUGUAUCAAGGUUCAAGAAAUGACUAACAAGGUGGAUCUUGAGAAGUUCAAUGGUCAGAAUGAUUUCAAUAUGUGGAGGAUCAAGAUGGAAGCAUUGUUAAUCACACAAGGUCUGGGAGAUGCCAUUGAUCCAGUCAUUAAGAGUGAAAAUGCAGAAGCCUAUUCUUCAAGAACUCCAGAACAGAUGGCUAAGAUUGAAAAAAAGGCAAGAAGCACCAUCAUCCUCAGUCUUGGUGACUUAGUGAUAAGGGAAGUUGCCAAGAAAAAGACUGUUGCUAGGCUCUGGGCAAAACUGGAACAAUUGUAUAUGACAAAGUCCUUAGCAAACAGGCUAUACAUCAAGAAAAAGAUGUUCUCACUGAGGAUGAUUGAAGGAGCAUCACUUGAUGAACACAUAGAUGAGUUUAAUAAAGUUUGUGAUGAACUGGAAACAAUUGAUGAAGGACUGAGUGAUGAGAGCAAGGCUUUGCUGUUAAUCAGUUCUUCACCAAAAUCAUAUGAACAUUUUGUGGAUGCCUUGUUAUAUGGAAGGCAAUCACUCUCCUUGGAAGAGGUUAAAUCUACUCUUGGUACCAAGAAGUUAAAAGAAAAACAAGAUAACUCAGAGAGUGAAUCAAGUGAAGGGCUGAUGGCAAGGGGCAGAUCUGAAAAAAAGGAGUACAAAGGAAAAAAACAAGGGAGAUCAAAGUCAAAGCAGAAACAUUUGAAGUGUUUUCACUGCCACAAAGAAGGGCAUUUCAAGAGGGAUUGCCCUGAGAGAAAAACAAAGCAAAAGGAAUCAAAAGACAAAUCUGGAAAUACAGCAAUAGCCACAGAAGAAACCAGUUUUGAGAUAGCUGAAGUCCUCAUUGCCACAAAAGAAAAAAACUCAAGGUCAGUGGGUACUAGACUCUGGAUGUACUUUUCAUAUGAGUCCAAAUAGAAAUUACUUUACUACAUAUCAGUCCUGUGAUGGGGGUAUGGUGCUGAUGGGAAAUAAUUCAGUUUGUAAAGCAGUUGGGAUUGGGACUGUAAGCCUUAAGAUGUAUGAUGGCAUGGUUAGAGAACUAACUCAGUUUAGGCAUGUUCCUGAGCUUAAAAGGAACCUAAUAUCUAUUGGCAUGCUUGAUCAAACUGGAUGUGUCAAUAAGGCUGAAAAUGGGUCAUUGAAAGUUAUCAGAGGCUCAAUAGUCAUAAUGAAAAGUUCCAAGCAAAAUGGUUUGUAUGUGUUGAAUGGACAUACAACUGUUGGAGAGGCAAGUGUCACUGAGAAGAGUGAAGACAAAGCAAGACUAUGGCACUUGAGGUUGGGGCAUAUGAGUGAAAGGGGAUUGAAGGAGCUUCAAAAGAAUGGGGUGUUUGGAAGUGACAAGCUAAGUUCUUUGGGGUUCUGUGAAGACUGUAUCCUAGGGAAGGCUUCCAAUCUCAAGUUUGAAUCUGCAGUUCAUUCUACCAAAGAGAAGCUUGCAUAUAUACACUCUGAUAUGUGGGGGCCUGCACAGGUAAAUUCUCUUGGUGGCUUUAAGUAUUUCUUAUCCUUAAUAGAUGACUAUUCAAGGAUGGUUUGGGUGUAUGUACUCAAAACCAAAGAUGAAGCUUUGGAAAAGUUUUAGAGGUGGAAAAUUCUGGUAGAAACACAGACAAGUUUGAAAGUAAAAGCUCUAAGAACAGAUAAUGAAUUGGAAUUCUGCAACAAAGAGUUUGGAGACUUUUGUAAAAGACAUGAGAUUAUGAGGCACAAAACAGUCAUACACACACCUCAGCAAAAUGGUUUUGCUGAGAGAAUGAACAGAACCUUAAUGGACAAGGUGAGGUGUAUACUGCUAUACUCAAAGCUGCCUAAGUCACUCUGGGCAGAGGCCUUAAACACAGCAUGUUACUUGGUAAAUAUAAGUCCAUCUACAGCAAUAGAAUGCAAAACACCUAUCGAGCUAUGGUCUGGAAGGGUUGCAGAUUACUUUAAACUGAGAAUCUUUGGAUGUGUUGCUUAUGCAUAUGUCAAACAAGGCAAAUUGGAGCCAAGAGCUUUAAGGUGUAGAUUUCUAGGAUACCCUGAUGGAGUUAAAGGCUAUAGGCUAUGGUGCAUUGAUUUGAAGCCACCAAAAUGCAUUAUCAGCAGGGAUGUAACUUUCAAUGAGUCAGAAAUCUUGAACAAAUCCAAAACCACUUAAUCCAAAGAUCAUAUAUCAGAAACAAGACCUGGGAGUGUUCAGUUUGAGGUGGAGUCCUAUGAACAAGAUAGGACUGAAUCAGAAACUGAAGGAGAUUCAGGAAGGGUUACUGAUGGAUUUGAUGUUGUUCAGGAGUCAGAGCCAGCUGAGAAUGAAGAUAAUUCUUAUCAGUUGGUCAGGGAUAGAAAGAAGAGAGCUGUAAGACCACCUAAGAGGUAUACAAUAGCAGAUUUCAUAGCUUAUACAUUAACAGUUGCACAAGAGGUAAAUGAGGAAGAGCUAAGAACCUAUAAAGAAGCUAUAAACAGCAUGGAUAAGAUGAAAUGGAAGGAGGCUAUGGAUGAGGAAAUUGAAUCACUAAUGAAAAAUGGAACUUGGAAGCUGAUAGUUAGACUAGAAAAAAGGAAGACUGUUAGCUGCAAAUGGAUCUUCAAAGUUAAGGAAGGUAUAUCUGAUGCUGAACCUAGUAGGUUUAAAGCUAGGCUGGUAGCAAGAGGCUUCACACAAAGAGAGGGGAUUGAUUUCCAUGAAAUCUUCUCUCUAGUUGUGAAACAUGCCUCCAUCAGAGUCAUCUUAGCUUUAGUUGCCAUUCAAGACAUGUACCUGGAGCAUAUGGAUGUUAAAACAGCCUUCCUGCAUGGUGAAUUACAAGAAGAAAUUGUAAUGGAACAGCCUGGGGGGUAUGUGGUGUCUAGUAAGGAAAAUCAUGUGUGCUUACUAAAGAAAUAUUUAUAUGGAUUAAAGCAGUCUCCUAGGCAAUGGUACUUGAAGUUUGAUAGUUUUAUGACAAAACAUGCCUACAAGAAAUGCAAUUAUGAUUGUUGCGUGUACUUUAGGGACAUUGGUGAUGGAAAGAUGAUUUAUCUUAUGCUGUAUAUGGAUGACAUGCUUAUAGCAUGUCACAGCAUAGAUGAAAUCAGUCAUUUAAAGAAUCUCUUGAGCAGUGAAUUCGAUAUGAAAGAUCUUGGAGCUGUAAGGAAGAUCUUAGGUAUGGAAAUUAUCAGAGACAGGAGAAGGAAGCUUAUGUUUUUAACCCAACAGAGCUAUGUUAAGAAGGUGUUGCUUAGAUUUGGGAUGCAUGAAUCCAAGUCUGUUCAAACACCUUUGGCAAAUCACUUCAAGCUGUCUGCUGCACAUUGUCCACAAACUGAUGCAGAGCAAGGAAAAAUGGCAAGGAUACCUUACUCCAGUGCAGUUGGGAGCCUCAUGUAUGCCAUGGUUCUCACUAGACAUGAUAUCUCACAUGCUGUGAGUAUAGUGAGUAGAUUCAUGGCAAAUCCAGGUUAUGAGCAUUGGAGGGCAGUCCAGUGGAUAAUGAGGUACCUGAAAGGCACUAUGGAGUUUGGUCUGCUAUAUGGAGGGUUAAAACAGGAAGGGCACAAGCUGGUGGGGUAUGUUGACUCAGACUUCGCUGGAGAUCUUGAUAAAAGGAGGUCUCAGACAUGUUUUAUAUUCACUUUGGGAGGCUGCACUGUGAACUGGAAAGCUACUCUGCAAAGUGUGGUAGCUUUGUCCACAACUGAAGCCGAAUAUACAGCAGCUGCAGAAGCUUUUAAGGAAGUCAUCUGGUUAAAAGGAAUGGUCUCAGAGUUAGGAGCAAAACAAGAAACAGUUGAAGUAUACUGUGAUAGCCAGAGUGCAAUACAUUUGAGUAAAAACCAGACCCAUCAUGAAGGAACAAAACAUAUUGAUGUAAAGCUUCAUUUUGUAAGACUUGAAGUUUCAAAGGGAACUGUGAAGAUGCUCGAGGUUCACACUGAUCAAAAUCCAACCGAUAUGUUGACUAAAGCUGUGCCUUCUGCCAAGCUCAACUUCUGUUUGAGCUUAGCAGGAAUUUGCAGUUUCUGAUCAGCUGCAAAAGAAAGGGAAUAAAGUAUACAGGAGUAGCUAGAGUUCAGAGUUCACACUGAUUAAAAGGUGCAGGCUUUGUCAUCGUCUACACAUGAUUUGGGAAACACAGAGAGUAGAGAAAAAGAUAGAGAGAGAAAGGGGUUAACAAGUUCUUGUUCUCUGUAAAUCGAUUUCUAUUCUUGUAAAGUUUGUGAUCUCAAUUAGUGAAAGAUUGUUGCUUUGUUUCCAGUGGAUGUAGGCACCACUUCUUGGUGCUGAACCACUUAUGCUUGGUGUCAUAUUGUUUCUUUAAUGCUUUGAUUCUUGCGUGUGAUUGUUGCUGGAUAAUCUGUGCUGUUAAUUCUCAAACCAUUGAUACAGAAUUAAUGUCUUGGGGAGAAUUUGGUUAGUCUUAUCAAAGCCGAAUUCACAACAAAAACUGUAAUGGUAUAUCUUGAAUUAUUGGUAGAAUAGUUCUUUGGAGCAAUAAAAACAGAUAAGACAGAUGAGAAAAUUGUCAAUACCCCACCGCAAAAGCAAAAGAAAACAAGGAAAGGAGACAAAAGAGGAAGAAGAAAAAGAAAAAAGAACGAAGAAAAAAAUGGUGCCGUGCGGUAUAGGCAAGAAGAAAAAAUAAUAAAAAAUAAUAAAAUAAUAGUGCACAACAAUCAUUUGAUUGCUAUAAAUAAAAGGCGUUUCCCUCAUUUUAUUCAUCGAAUUCUUCAGUUCCUUUCAAGCGAUUUAAGAGUCUAGUGAUUUGAGAGUUUGGGUGUAGUAUGAUUUUGGGUAGUGAGCUAAAAUACUACAAUACUUGUAACUCAUUUUUAUUAGUAAAAUAUUUUCCUUCUGACUUCGCCCGUGGACGUAUGCUAAAAGCCGAAUCACGUAAUUUCUGGUGUCCCUAUGUGAUUAUGUGUCUCAUUAUUUCUUAAUUUCACUUUAGUUGCGUGUCUGCGACACCCCUCAAUUUAUUAACAAAAAAUGGCCAAAAUUAUAUAAGUGACCCAAAUUUUUUUGUUAUUUCCAAGAAAUCCCCAAUCUGAAUGGGCUAGACCAGAGGGAGGCAAGUUAGAAAUACAUUUCCUUCAUAGACAAUAACAGUGAUGAGUCGAUGACAUCAAGCCACGUCGGUAUCAAUAUUGAAUUAAAGGUGCAAUUAUUCAGCCAAUGAACCUUACACAUCAAGAUAAAAGUCAAGAAAAUGAAAAUUUAUCCCAAUUAAAACACUUUCUGGCUGCAUUUAGUUGUUUCCAUUAGAAGUUAAAAACAACGUUUCUUUCGUUUUGUGGGCAACUCAACUGAGUUAGCUGGCUUCUAGUGCUAGUAUGUGAAAAUAGAAGGCUAAUGAUUUAUUUAUUAUCUUUUGACAAAAUUAUUAAAGAUAUAAUAGAUUUUCUAUGAUACAAGUGAAAAAUCACAUCAACAUAGCUUUCAAUCUACAGCAGCUAGCGUUUACCAAACACUUUGUUGUAGCUUUUAAGCUAUAGCUGCCCAACCUCAAUCUCAAACGCACCCUUAAUAGGUUGAUUGAAUUUGUGAGAUAUGGAUUCCACAUAUCUCAUGACCUAGUAAUUAUACAAGUGGUUCGUGAUCAAGACACAACAUUUGCUUCCGGCCUAGUGACCCAGCAAUCGCUGCACUGGUCGCCACCUAUGGUGCCGACGAUAUUGCAUGGUCCAAUUGUGGCCUUGAAUGGAAAAAGUUGAGCAAAUUAUUUGUGGACACGAUGAUAAGUAACGCAAGCCUUGAUGCUAGUUAUGGUCAAAGAAAACAAGAGGUUAAGAAUACUAUCAGAGAUAUUCAUAACAACAAAAAGGAAAAAAAAAAGGCAUUUGCAAGCCCAUUGAUAUUGGUGAAUUGUCGAUUUCAACUUUGGCAUGUGUAAUCCAGAACCUGCGCGCUGUGGUAUGGCGCUGGCACGCUUGCAUUAACGAGGGGACAAGUCUUGGGGCUGAGCUAACAUUUAAGCUCGCAGAACUCAUGGUGCUAAUGGGAACACCAAAUAUUUUUUUGACAUAUUUUGGUGCUUUCAUGGUUUAAUUCAAGGUAUAGAAAGGAGUGUUGAGAAUGUCAAAUAAAACGGCAUUGAAUGGAAGUUGUCAAAGACACGAUCCGCACCGAACGGCAACGACACGGUUGCUAAAAAUCCUUCCAUAAUAUGCAUAUCUAAUUUUUUAAAAAGUGUAACCUCUGCAUUUAUAAAUAUACUCAAUGUAUAAUGUUUUACUUAAGAAAUGAAAAACUUGUUUGUUCAAGGAGAAUAAAGAAAAUUUUUCUAUGAUUUUUUUAUGGUUUGAACAAAGAAGGUUUUAAUGAGUAUUAUAGACCUCGAUUGAAUGUUCGAAUGUAUAAUAAAAGAGAAACUGUCACAUAAAUGACAAAGAUACUUGGAAAAAAAAAAAGGGCAGCAAUAGAGAAUUAGAUUCGACUGCACAAAUAACUAGUUAAUUCAUCAAUACAUCAUUUUCUUGCUAGAAAAUGACAAUUAUGACAGCAAGCCACGAUAGUGUCAAUAUUGAAAUUGAUUUGCAAUUAUUCAGCCAAUGUGCCUUACACGUCAAGAUAAAAGUCAAGAAAAUGAAAGUUAAUAUCAAUUAAAACACUUCCUGGGCCGCAUUUAGCUCCAGUUUUUGUGGUAGGAAAACAAAGUUUUGUUUUAAAUUCACAUGGUGUGCACUUCCUAUAUAAAUCUAGAGUUGUGUCCCACGUUGAACAAUAAAGGAAAGUCACCUAAAUAUACAUGUAGGAUAAGUUACUUUAUUUAGUAAGUUUGUAUUUUCUUCUUUCUUCUAGUUUACAUAUAAAUUUGAUUAGAUAACUUAACACAUAUUUUAAUACUUGAUCAGAAGCCCUACGUACAGGUGGAUCUAGAAACUUGAUUUCUAAGAGUAAUACUAUAAUAAAAAAAUAAUGAUUCAUAGAACCAAUAUCAAAAUUUGUUUACAAGAUUACCCCCACUCAAAGGUAAUUUUCAUAGAAAUUAAUAGGAAAUUUAAUUGUUAGUGGGGUCAAAUUGCCCCCACACUCUGAAUGUAGAUCCACGCCCGACCCUGAGUCAAGUAUAUUUUGCCACAUAUACUCUGAAUGUCGGCAGGAAAAAUCUUCCACUUUAGUUUAAAAUUUUCACUUAAAAUUUAUUUACGUUAAUAAAGUUGGUAAAGGAAAUGAGUUUAAUUAAAGAAUAUUAUAGGAGAAAUUCUAUUGUUUGGCUUUUAAUAAAUUAAUUAAUAGGUUUAAAAAGAUUAAUAUACAUCAAAAUAUUAUUAGUUGGUGGUGGUUCCACAUCGGACUAAGACGUGGCACCUUACUUGUGAGAUUAAGACAAUCAGGCUUAGACUAUUUAAAUAUGUUUGAAGCUUAGAUGGCACCGCUUCAAUUUGCAUUAAUGAAUGUCAUUCUUUACCCUAAUUACUACGUAAUUGAUAACAUGCAAUUGAAAUAACUAAUAUUAGCACUUGGCUAUAAAUGAACUAAAGGCCGUGCAAUUGAAUCUUUACUUGAUCACUUCAUUCCUUUAUUUUGCUAACACAGAUUUUGAGAUAUUAAAACGAAAUAAUAAUUGAAUCUGGCUUUGUGGGUCGAUGAUGCCAGCAACAACGAGACCACAAUUAUCACUUGUUUAUUUGCUGUAUUUGACGUUGUUUCAUAUUGGUAGUAAUAACUAAUAAGGUCGUUGUAGAGUUUUUAAUCUUUUUUUUUAUAUUAAUCACGAGGUAUCCUGGGGAGGGCCCCAACUGUGGGAGGCACCUUUAAGCUCGUACCACAACCCAGACUAGAAGUCCCCGCUCGAACCGGGAGGCACAGUUUUUAAUCUUUUUUAUAUUAAAGUUAAGUCAAUUUGUUAUAAAUAAAUAAAAAAUUGGUUGAGUUUAAUUAUAUUGCUAUGUACAUUAAAUAAUUAUAAUAUUCUCGAGGGAAAAAGACACCUAGAACCUCAAGGUUUGGGGAAAUGGUCACAAAAACUCCUAAGUUUUAAAAAAGGAACACUAAAAUCUUUUUUUACCCAUAAUACCCUUUGACUAUAGUAAUUAGAAAAUUGACUUUAAAGGUUUUUAAAUAAUACAAAUUUAAUAUAAAUCAUAUAAUCUAUCUAGUACACUAAUAAUAUUAAAUUAUUUUUUAUAUUUAAAAUAAUGUUAAAAAAUUUAAAUUAUUAUAUUUAUUUUAAUAAUAUAUUUAUAAAAUUAUAAAGAUUUUAAAUAAAUCUUUGGAUUGAAUAUAUUUUACAAUUAAAAGUCUUCCUAUUAAUAAUAUUAAAAUUAAAUUUUAAGUAAUAUAUAUUCAAAAUAUUUUUAAUUUAAUUUUAUUUAUUUUAAUAUUAUGUUUCUAUCUAUUAUUAAAAAUUACUUUAAUAUAAUAAAAUAGGUCUAAUAGAUUGAAAAAUAUGAAAAUAUUUUUAAAAUUUUAAAUUAUUUUGAAAUGUAUAUAUUAUUACAUUUAUUUCAAUGUCAUAUUUCCAUUUAUUAUAAAAUUUUGGGGUUAUUUUUUUGGGAAUUUAUAGAGUCAAAGAGCAUUAUGGUUAAAAAAGAGUCUUGGUGUCCCUUAUUGAAAACUUUAGAGUUUUUGUGACCAUUUUCCUAAAUCUUGGGGGUGUUGAAGUGGCACUUAUUGUAAGAUUGAUUUUAAAAUAUGUAAAAUUAAUUUUAUUACAUUACCAUAUGCUACAUCACCUGAAACUUAAUAAAUGGAACGUAGCAUUACUCCACGUUCACCGUUAUGACCUUAUGACAUUAGAAUUAAAAUCUUUCGUACGUUUAAAUUGUUUACUUCCAAAUUAAUCUUUCGUAAAUAUUUUGUACAGAUCUUAUCGGAGUUAGCGUGUUCAUUACAGUGUUUCUUUUCUUUUAUCCUUUCUUUUGAAACGUAUUUCCUGUGGACAAGGAAAGCAAAUAAUACCCUGCCACCAGGACCUCGCGGCUUGCCUGUAAUCGGAUACCUUCCAUUUCUCGGAAUUACUGACUUACACAAGACAUUCACGGAAUUAGCUGGUCUAUAUGGCCCGAUCUUCAAACUCUGGCUUGGCAACAAAUUGUGUGUAGUGGUUAGCUCGCCUUCAACUAGUUCUAUAAGAAUAUCCCUUUUAAGGGAUUCUCUCUCUGCAAAAUUUUUUUAUCUUCUGGUGCAUAAUAAAAACUUAUGCCACUUCAUUAACCACAGAUAUCUUUUGAGGAAACGAUGUUUCGUUUUCUUUUGUUUUUUCCUUCCUAAUCCUCGCAUAUCGUGUGAAGGCUAAUAUAUCCAAGAAUCUAAAUCUCUGUAAAUCUUUUUCUAUCCAAAUCUACAUAAUAAUUUAAUCCAUGCACAAUAUCUAUAAUUAUAUCGGCUGUCGGCUGAUUUCGUGGAGGGGGCGGCAGUUCAAAUUUUUUACGUGCAUGUUGGAUGGACGUCUCUAUUAAAGGAGAGCCACCACUUGCAUGGUAAUUUUUUUAAAUAAAUAUAUACAUUUCAAAAUAUUAUUUCAUUGUUGUAUAGUUAACAUGUCACCUUAGAUGUAUUUUAGAACUUCUCCUAUUAAAGAUAAUCUCAUGCAGUGAUACUUCUCGUGAUCUAAUCAUUAGUAGAAUCUAUAAUUUCGCUACUGUAAUAAAAUCUGUCCCUACCCUAUAUGAAUGUAGAUAUUUGACGCGAUUUGUAAUUGCUUCCGACAGGAAAACAGCAAUAGUUUAAUUGAAAUUUGUGGUAUGGAUUCCACGAAUCUUAUGACAGAAUACUGACCACUCCAACCCUAUCCACAUUUACACGAUUAAAACACAAGCUUAGAUGUGACAAUGCAUUUGUCACUUUUGUUCAAAUUCAUCCUGAAACACUAUACACUAAAUAAUCGAAUAUGGCUUCGUGGGUCGAUGAUGCUAGCAGCAACGAGACUGCAAUUAUCACUUGUUUUGUUGCUGUACUUGUCGUGGUCUAUUUCGCAUGGAAUGUAAACAAAUCAAGUAAAGCAAAUGCUAAAUUGCCACCAGGAUCUCGGGGCUUGCCAGUAGUCGGAUACCUCCCAUUUCUUGGAACUACUGACUUACACAAGACAUUCACGGAGUUAGCUGGAGUUUAUGGUCCGAUCUUCAAGAUUUGGCUUGGGAAUAAAUUGUGUGUAGUGGUGAGCUCGCCUACCCUAGUUAAACAAGUGGUCCGUGAUCAAGAUAUAACAUUCUCAAACCGCGACCCACCGAUCGCUGGAACUGUGACCACCUACGGUGGCAAUGAUAUUGCACUUUCCAAUUAUGGUCCCGAAUGGAAAAAGUUGCGAAAAUUAUUUGUGAGCAAGAUGAUGAGUAAUGCAACCCUUGAUGCUUGUUAUGCUCUAAGAAAACAAGAGGUUAAAAAUACUAUCAGGGAUUUGUACAACAACAAUAAGGAUAAUAUUGGCAGUGGCAAUGGCAAGCCCAUUGACGUUGGUGAAUUGUCGAUUUCAACUUUGGUACGUGUUAUGCAGAACAUGCUGUGGGGUCAAGCAUUGGAAACAAGAGAGAAAGAGAUUACUAAUCUCGGGGCUAAUCUUGCAGAACUCAUGGUGCUACUGGGAACACCAAAUAUUUCGGAUAUUUUUCCAGUGCUUUCAUUGCUUGACAUGCAAGGUAUAGAGAGAAGAGCUAAGAAGAUUUCUCUAUGGUUUGAAAACAUUAUCAAUUCUGGUGUUGAACAGUAUAGAAACAAGUUUUCUGUUGUUAAAGGUGAAGAAGCUGCAGCAGGAAAAAAUAUUGAACGAUCAAGAAAUAAGGACUUCUUGCAGUUACUGUUGGAGCUUCAGGAAAAUGAAGAUAGUGCUUCAUCUAUUAGCAUGAACCAACUAAAGGCCGUGCUCGUGGUAUGUUAAGCAACUAGACACAAAAAGUUGUAAAAGCACAGUGAUAUAUUUGCGCGAGGCCGCGAGUGAUGUUUUGCCUCGAGAACUCUCAAUUUUAUCUUACGGUAAAAAAUGUUUUUCAACUUUUUUUAAUUAGAAUUUUAUUGCAAUUUAUUUAACAGGACAUAAUUGUGGCCGGAACCGACACCACAACUACGAUGGUGGAAUGGACAAUGGCAGAGUUGAUGCAACAUCCACAAGUAAUGAAGAAAGUUCAAGAAGAAUUAGCUCAAGUUGUGGGCAUGGACAGUUGUGUUGAAGAAUAUCACUUGCCUAAAUUAAAUUAUUUAGAUGCUGUGGUGAAAGAAACAUUUCGUUUGCAUCCUGCGUUGCCCUUAUUGGUACCUCGCACGGCAAGCGAGAACAGCAAUAUUGGUGGCUAUACCAUUCCCAACGACACUAAUUUUAUGUUGAAUGUUUGGGCUAUUCACAGGGAUCCUCAACUUUGGGAUAAUCCCUUAGAUUUUCGACCUGAGAGGUUCUUGAAUGAUGAUAUCAUAAGCAAAUUCAAUUACUCGGGUAACAAUUUUCAGUACUUGCCAUUUGGUUCUGGUAGAAGGAUGUGCGCUGGCAUUCCUCUAGCUGAGAGGAUGUUGAUGCUUGUUCUGGCUUCGUUGUUGCACUUGUUUGAGUGGAAAUUGCCCCCGGGCACAAAGCUAGACUUAGCUGAAAAGUAUGGGAUUGUCAUGCGGAAAAAAGAGCCUCUGAUUGCUAUUCCAACACCAAGGCUACCAAAUUCAGAUCUCUACCAGUAAGAUCAAAAUGGUUGUGAUGAUAUUAUUUCCCAUUGUAUUGGAAUAUUUUUGUGUGAUUUGAAGUUCAAUCAUAAUAAAAUAUUUUAAUAAAAUGUCCUCGGUUGCUAAUUUUUCAAUAGUAUACUCUAUCAUCGUUUCUAACUGUCUUUUAGAGCCAUUUGGUCUAAUUUAUUUUUGAAUUAAAAUCCAUAAAUAUUUAAAUUUUUGAAUCAUAUUAAGAAUUAUCUGGAGUGUAUGGUCUGAUCUUCAAGUUCUGGCUUGUAAACAAAUUAGAGUUCUGAUAUUUGCCCCGGGUCAAACCCCGAAAUUAAAUAAAACGGCGUCGUUUUGUUUUUUUUUUUUUUUUUUUCUUUUUUACUUCUUCCAAACGUUGCCAUUUCACUUGUCAUUUGCAAGUGACUCCAUUGAUCCUUAGUUGAAACAGAGUUACACCGUAAAUCUCUUCCUCUUCGUUUCUUCGUUUCACCAGGGAACGAGACAGAUAAAAUCCAGCCAUUCUUCGACAUAACAAGAUAUCGAUUAGAAUCCAACGACAUAACUAUAAACCAUGACAUUGCGCUUGAUUUUGCGAAAUACCGAUUAAGAACCAGUAACUUUGAAUCCAAUGACCGUUAAGAGUUUGAAAUUGGUUUCAAAUGACUAAUGAGUUAUCAGAUUUCUUUGCGUCUACAUUUUCCUUGAAGGUUUCUCAGCAGCCAAACAAAUACAAAGCAAAUUGCAGAAGAAACACAUUUUGUUCCAAUGAAAAAUGUACGGAAACAUUUUAAAUAUGGAAAAUUACCUCAAAAUGAAGGCUCGCAAGAGAUUCGAGCAACAAAUUAGAUCAAAGGAACCGGCGCUGAGCAAGAAAGUGAGCUCAAAGAUUCCGAAACACAAACGUAAAUUCACAAAAAUGCAAAUCUAUGAUGAACGCCAAGAUCAAAAUUUUCGAAGAAAGGGAGCUGAAAAAAUAAAUGAAACGUCAAACUAGAUGACAAUGGAUUUGCUUCUUCAAAGGAGACAAUGAAAUUGUUACUAGAGACAGCUAGAGAAAUAGAGAGAGAGAGAGAGAGAGCUUGAAUUGGCUGUACCCCCACCAGAAAGUGGGUAGUGCCUUUUCCACUUGGACUUGAUAUGCGAAUCUGAAAAAAUCUGAACGAAGGACUGACUCAUCCCAGCUCGAAAGCAAACCAAGCUAGGACUGACUGAAAACGUUGCCGUUUGGAGAAGUUAAAAAAAAAAACUAAACAAAACGACGCCGUUUUGUUUAGUUUCGGGGUUUGACCCGGAAUUUGACCCGGGGCAAACAUCAUUUUCCAACAAAUUAUGCAUGGUCGUGUACACGCUUUCCCUAAUUAAGCAUGAGGUUCGUGAUCAAGGCACAACAUUCACUCCCUGCGACCCAACAAUCGCUACAUUGUUUGCCACCUAUAGUGCCAACGAUUUUGCACGGUCCAAUUAUGGUCCCCAAUCGAAAACGUUGCGCAAAUGUUUUCUGGGCAAGAUGAUAAGUAACGCAAGCCUUGAUGCUUGUUAUGGUCUAAGAAAACAAGAGGUUAAUAUAUAUAUAUAUAUAUAUAUAUAUAUAUAUAUAUAUAUAUAUAAAUUGGCAUUGUCAACUUUUGUAUGUUUUAUUCAGAACCCGCUGUGGGUUGACGCUAGCAUGCUUGCGUUAGGAGACGAGGGGACCAAUCUUGGGGCUGAGCUAAAAUAUAAGCUUGUAGAGAUCAUCUUGCUAAUGGUAAUGUUUUCCGAUGCUGGUUUAAUUCAUGGUAUAAAAAGGAGAACAAAAAAGAUUUUUCUAUGCUUUGAAAAUAUUAUAAUUUUUAUUUUAUAAUUUUUAAUAAAAUCUCUCAUUGAUAGCCAAACAAUUAAAAUUUUUGUAAAGCUUUUGUGGACUUUUGAUCGCGUAUGGUGCCAAUGUAUUGCGUGGUCCUAUUAUGGUUCCAAAUGGAGAAAGUUGCACAAGUUUUUUGAGUACCAGAAGAUCA